AUUGACUUCCAAAAGCAUUUUAUUUUUAGCAAGGUUAGUCAUUAAAAAACCUGAUAAAUGUCCUUUCAAUGCAUAUUUAUUGUGGCCUUUAUUUCGAGCAGCCGAUCUAUUUAUUGGAUUUGGCUGCUUGGAUUUCAUCUGUCUUUAUAUCCAGAUAAAAUUUGAUUAAAAGAUAAAGUGACUGAAAACUGUCGAUAUCAUCUGUUUUUGCCAAUAAAAAUUAAAAAAUCUAGGCCUUUUUAGUGAAUAAAUCUUGAUAACUCAUUCAGUGUUACAAGUGAACUUUAGCUUCUGUUGUGUGAAUAUUUCUGCCAUUUUUAUAGUUUUACUCUGAAGUGUGUUCACUUUAUCAUUUUCAUUGACAUGGGUCUUACUAACUGUGAGGUUUAUCCUAGGGCCGGAUUAAGAGCCCAUUGGGCCUGGCGCUGAU